rnacentral:precursor_RNA from 1 species
GCCCCGAAGCCUGUGCCUGGCCUGAGGAGCAGGGCUUAGCUGCUUGUGAGCAGGGUCCACACCAAGUCGUGUUCACAGUGGCUAAGUUCCGCCCCCCAGGCCCUCACCUCCUCUGGCCUUGC